rnacentral:lncRNA from 1 species
GGGAGCUCUGCGCUUCCACCCACCCUCCUUCCCUCCCGGUUCCCGGGACACUUUUUUUUUUUUUUUUUUUUUUGGCAAGCUCGGCUUAGAGAGGCCACUUGCCCAAAAGGGACAACUGUCCUAAACUAGGGGAAGUCAGAGGCCGGCUUCAAACCUAGGUUUGAAGAGGACUAUUCUGAACACCCCGGGAAUCACAUGCCUUGGAGCACCCUUCUCUGGGUACCUACCGGUUGGUGAGGCAGGAGUCAAGUUCAUUCUUUUGACCCCCUGACCUGUGCCCUAGCAAGGGCAAAGGAUUCAAGCUUCCCGUGCUUGGCCUCCUCCCAAAACCUCCCUCACUGGAGUACCAAGCAUUCUUUCCGUCUCUAGUCCAAUAGAGAAGGAAGUUCUCACUCCUCUGACCCAGAAAGCUAGAUCAAGUGAAGAAUCUUUUUUUUUUUUUUUUUUUUUAAACCCUCACACCUAUGCCUUCUCCUUGGCUUCCUUACAAAACAAGCCUUUCAAACAAUCAUUAUCCCUGGGAAAGGUGGUUGGGCUUCCUUCAGCUGAGACUAAGGUUCAAGUCUGCAGAGUAAUGGUGGGCAAGGGGAGGGGGGCGGCUAAUUGCUCCCCAGGAUGGCAGGGAGACAAGAUGCAACUCUUGGCCUCCGGACUCCCACCUGUCCUGCUCCCAGCUGCUCAGAUCCCAGGAAACAGGACAAGGGCAGACUCUCUCAUCACACAAAUGUAGAAUACGGAGAGGUUGGGCCAUGGCAUCGCCAGACCGUGCCCAUGUCACCGCCUCUUGAACAGUUUGCAGGAGAGACAAUAAGCUACUGUGUGAGGAGUGAUGGCAAUUAAAAAGCUGAAAGAGAAGGAGGGCCUCGUGUUCUAACUUCUCUUCCCUGAUGCCCAUCCAAGUCCCUUGCAUCCCUGGCCCCUCCCCAACCUCCUAUGCUCCAGCCCUGACUCUCCACCAUCCCACAGAGAAAUCCCUGUGUUCCCCACCACUCCACAUGGGGCAGGUUUUGUUCCAGCCCCAAGGGCAACAACAUUUCUAAUUGGCCCCCCCUGUCAGGGGCCAAUUACCUCGACAGCAUGCCCCUCCUGGCUCCCUGUCCCUAUGCACUUCUCCAGGCUCCUUUGAGUAGGUGUGCCUUCGCAGCUUCCCUUAGCUAGCCAGAACUGUUCCCUUAACUUUCCCAGGUGCCUCAUCCAGAAUGAGAUCAUGCCUUCAGGGGACAGUUGCUCAGGCAGGUAUGAGGUGUGGGACUUGGGGGAGGAGUACAAGCUGCUCAGCCUUGGGAGACAGCAUUGAAGUGAGGGGGAAGUGAGAGCAUGCCACACUUCAUGCCUUGGUGCUGAAUCCCUGAGGGGCCAGCUUCCCAGGCUCAAGCCAAAUCUGCCUUAAAUCCGGGGGGUAAAAGUAAGGAAGUGGUUUUGCUUUUGGUUUUUGGUUUGUUUUGAUCUUCAUCUUUGUAUUACCAGCAUCUAGCAGAGUGCCUAGCACAUACUGGAUGCUCAAUAAACUUUUGAUGAAAUGAAAUGACAACUUUAUUGUACUUCAGCAAGGAAAACACAACAAGCAGCUUAAAAAUGCCAGGCAUUUCCCUUUUCCCUUUUCUUUUCAUCUUCCUUCAUCAUCCUUCACCCUCUUUGCAAAUUCCAUAUUGUCCACUCCAAAAUCAUCACUCACUCACCCGUUCAUUCAUUCAUGCAUUCAUUGCAAUGCUUUCAUUUAUUCUACAAACACAUGUUAAUAUACCAUGGACUUGGUCCUGUGCAAGACACCGAGGAAACAGUGUGAUUAUGCCAUGACCCCUACCCAGAUGACAGCCCCAUGAAGGAGGACAGAUGAGUAAGCAGGUUAUCACAACACAGUGUGAAAAAUGCCAUGACAGAAGUAGCUACAGUAUGUUCUGAGAGAGCAUGUAAGAGCAUCAUCUAACCUAGAUUAGGGGUUGUCAGCAAAAGUAUCUUGGAGGAGGAGAACAGAUCUGAAUUUAGUCUUAGAUUAGUUAAUCAGGUGAAAAAAAAAAAAGGAUGAAAGGACACCUAUUCCAGGGAACAGGAGCAGCACAUACAGAAACUGAGAAAAUCUGGAUUAUCCAGGAGCAAAUGUUUAUUUUAGCCUCGUAAUGGAAGACUAGACUUGGGCCAGUCGGCAGGAUGGGGGAGCAGAGCCUGAGACUCCUGGAUUGAGUUGGCAUCCUAGAAAGGAGUCCCAAGCUCCCAAAAUAAAAAUGCACAUCCUCUCUGGAGAAAAGCAUCUCCUAAAAUUUUCAAAGAUUAAGAUCAACAACUUGACCAUAAAAGGCCAUUAAGCACAAAAGGAAACAAAUACCAUAAGUGAGAGUCAGAAGACAGAAAUGGUAGAUUUAGACCAGUAAGUCCUUCAAAUAUUAAAACGAUCAGAUAUAGAAUAUAAAAUAACUAUGAAAUGUUUGAAGAAAUGAAAAACAAAAUUAUAGAAAUGAACAAGCAACAAGAGACUGUCAAACUUUGUGACCAAAGUUGAAUAGGAACAAAAUAGAACUUUUGUAAAUAAAAAAUAGGACUUAUUGAAAUAAAAACUGUAAAUGAGAAAAUUAAACAGCACAUUAAGUAGAGCUGAAAAUAGUUAAUUCAAUUGCAAGAUGUAUCUGAAGAAAUGUUUCAGGGUAAAGCACAGACCAACAAGGAGAUGAACAAUAUGAGAAAGAGAGUAAGGGAUAUGGCACGCACAAAGAAAAGAACUAACACAUAUUUUGUCAAGAACUCAAAAGGAAGAAUAGAAAGAUAAAGGAGAGACAAUAUUUUAAGAGUAAUGACUGAAGUUUUUGUAGACCUCGUUAUAAACAUAAAUAUAUGGAUAUAGGAAGGUUAUUAACAGAAGAUAAAUUUUAAAAUUUCCAUACUUAACACAAAAUGUAGUAAAACCAGAGCAUACCAGAGACAAAGAAAAAAUAUUAUGAAAAGCAUCCAGAGAGGGAAAGAUAGAUCUUAUAUGUUUAGACAACAAUAAUAGAAAUCAUUAGAAAGUGGUUCAAAAUUAUGAGCACAAAUAACUAUUAACCCAGAAUAUUUACCUUAAAGAAAUCUCUCAAAUAUGAGGGUAAAAUAAAGAUAUUAUCAGAUGAACAAAACUACAGUUUUUCAUCAACAUGAUAAGAACUCCUAAAAGACACAUUUUGGGAAGGGGGAAAAGCAAGAUUUGAGAUACAAGAGAGAAUAGUGGGUAAAUAGGUUAGCAAAUCUAAAUAGUGUCUGGGAUCCCUGGGUGGCGCAGCGGUUUGGCGCCUGCCUUUGGCCCAGGGCGCGAUCCUGGAGACCCGGGAUCGAAUCCCACGUCGGGCUCCUGGUGCAUGGAGCCUGCUUCUCCCUCUGCCUGUGUCUCUGCCUCUCUCUCUCUCUCUCUCUGUGUGACUAUCAUAAAUAAAUAAAAUUUAAAAAAAAAA